rnacentral:rRNA from 1 species
UGCAUGGAGAAAUGCUCAACUCCUGAUGCAUGGAGAAAAGACCUUCACAAGCCUCUUAUAUUGUGUACAUAGUUUAUACUAAGUGACUCACAGGUUGAGGAGGCGGUGAAGGUGGAAGCGGCGGUGGAGGAAGAGGAUGAGGUAGCCAACACUGAUAUAUAUAUAAUGUUCCUCAGAGUAGCUGUUGACAUUAUAGUUGCACAGGCACUUUGUUGACUCUAGAGAACCUCAGACCAGACGCACAUCCCCGUGACGGCGAAUUAGCAUUUGGAUGUCAUCCAAAUCAACUUUCGAUGACAGUUUCUGCGCCUACCAUGGUGACCACGGGUAACGGAGAAUCAGGUUUCCAUUCCAUACAGGGACCCUGAGAAACGGCUACCAUAUGCAAGGAAGGCAGCA